CAAGGAGCAAAAGCACGUGAGCAAAAGCCCCCAGAUUUUCUCUCUCGCGCCCGCUCUUACUCGCGCCUGCGCACAAACGACUGGCGAUCCCUCAAAUCUGCGUCAAAUGAACGUCUAGUUCAGAACUCUGCCAUAUGACUCUGCCGUGCAUCGUCGUGAGGUGCAUCGUGCAACGAUGCAAACGAUGCAUGUGCAAACGAUGCAUGUGCAACGCCGCAAACCAAGGAAAUGCUGUGUGCUGGGUGACCUGAAGCAGCGCAUCCCUGGUGGAGCACGUAUGCUGAAUCGUCUGUAAAAUAUAUUACGCUUCAGCCAUCCAAGUUCUACCAGAGUCUGCGCACUUGUGCAUUUGCCCUUCAUUGUAUGGAUGCUGCAAAGCCAGCAUACCCAUAGCUUUAGAAUAGUGAACUUCUGGGCUAGUUGGUUAUCCAACAUAAUGAGUUUUGUGCCAAGGCCACACGCACAAGAGAGGAAACAACACGGGCGCUUCCAUGGCCCUCAUACGAACAACCGUGGUCAGCCGACAAGCCUCUAAUUCAGUUGAAGUAGACAAAUGAAGAAAACAAGGCUCGUAUUAGUGACAUGAUGUGUGUAUCUUUAAUGCCAUAACAUAAUAGGCAGUCUUCACCCACUAUACAAUACAAUAGAAUCUUUGUUGUGCAUAAAGAAAACAAAGUACAUAUAGCAGGCCUACCAAAGCCUCAGAGGGCUUGACUGGCAGUGCCUGACAGUCAGGUCACAAAAAAUUGCACAGGGUUAAUAGCGGAGUUAGCUAUUAGCGGGUCGGAGCAAAAUGUUGAAUAGUUAUACAAAAUGUUACAUUAAACAUCGAAAAUUCUAAGUAGUUUCUUAAUCCCACGUCUUGUGUUUGCUUCUAGCACAGGCGUUGGCAAUUUAUUAAAUAUGGCUGGAACAUAGUAUUGCCGCGUUCUCCUUCGGUACUUUGUCGCAGCCUUGGGGAUGAUGUAGGGUUCCUUCGGUCUUAAGGAGCGGACAGGCGUAUAUCGUGUUUUAAGAUCAUUAUUCCAGAAGUGUUUAAUUACAACACUUUCGACAAUCAGGGAAGUGAAGUUUGGCAAAUUCAACAACAUAAAGACGUCUGCAUCUUGCUUUGGACACAAAUUGUAAGCCACUGUUGACAGCAGUGAACGUAAAAUUGAAUUAAUUCUUGAGCUCCACCUAAGAGUACAAUGGCCAUACACAGUCAAGCCAUAACGUAGCACACUGUAGACUAAAGCAGGGACAAUAAUUUUUCGAACAGAGAUUGGCAUAAGACAUUGCAUAUUGUAUAAUACACAGGAGACCGUGCGCAGCCUUUUACAGAGGUGGGAUAAUUGCGAGUUCCAUAAAAGAUCACACUUUGGAGGUGUUGCAUUCCUGACGAGAAAUGUGGGCUGGUCCUGAGGACAGUACCGCCUAACAAAGCAUCUCAAAGCACUAGCUUUCAUAAAGAAGGAAUGUGAAAAACUGGCGCAUGACGCACAUGCUGGACAUUUGAAAAAGCCACCUUGGCAUGACAGAAGCCAUCAUGGCCUGAUGGCUGGAGCAUCGGGCUGCCUGUCUGGGAGACUGAGGUUCAAUUCCACCAUUGUACACACAUUUCUUUAUAGCAUUAUGGGUGGACUUCACUCAGUUUGGAAGCACCUAACAGAAAACUCGAGGUGUAUCGAACGUACACGAGCAGGUCACACUGCACAUGAAAUCACAAGUUUAAGAGAUGCAAGGCACAGAAAUAUCACUUUGAUAAAUGAGAGAGCGCGAGGCUUCCUAUUGUGCACAUGUACAUGGGAGACGUUACAGUCGUCACAUUCUAAAUAUGCUGUCGCAUACUUUGGAAGUUAGUGGUCCAAGUUCUGGCCUAGUUUUUCGCAAUCCCUUCAAGCAGUGGCAAGACAUUUGGAAAGCACUAGAAAAAUCCUAGGCGUUCUUCAUGGAGGAUGGCAUUCCUUAGUUUAUUGGCAGACCCACUGUGGUGGAUCUGUGGCUUUAGUGUUUUGCUGCUGCGCAUGAGGUUGCAGCUUUGAAUCCCGACUGUGGUGGCCACAUUUUGAUGCAACGGAAUGGAGACACGUUGGUGCACUUGGAUUCAGAUGCAUGCUAAUAACUUAAGCACCCUCCACUAUAGCAUCUCUCUUAGUCCUAGUGUUGCUUUAGCACAUUUAACACACUCAGUCAACCACCGCAUUGGCAGGGCUAUCGGUGACAAAUUGAACUAAACCUAUCCACUCAUAUUCUCUCCAAGAUUCUUCUUGGACAUUCCAGUGCACACUCCGGUGAUCUAAGAGCUACAGAUCGCCACUAAGUGUCCUCCGCACUGCAAAGUGAAAAAGCAUCUUCAUGGGAGGUUUCUUUGUUUUCUGCAAACAAAAAUGGAACUGGUGCAUCUUGGGGCUAUGUGAUCACAAGAUGUUUGUACAACAAAAAGAUUUAACCCAUGAAACAUAAAGGUCCUCCAGAACCAAGUUAUGGAAUCCUAAAGUUAAGGAUGCAAAGACUACGGGCAAAAACUAUAGCUAUGAGAAAAAAAGAUAACAGGAUUCCUUGUUACCGUUUAGUGUUCCUUGUCACUAUCAAGAAGCUGCUCAUCAGAUGGUUAUAUGUUUGAGCAGUGUUAAUUUGUGGUGGAAUGUUGCCUUGCUUGUGUGUAUGAUGAAUUGCAGUUCCAUAUGCAGCACCUUCAUAUUGCAACAAGAUGUAAUGUGUAGCUUCUGUAAUUUGCAAUUUGGAGGUGACUGUGCAAUUUGAAGACAAUCAGUAUGAUUGAGCAUCUUAUGUGGGAAGCUUCUGGCUUCAAUUCCUGUACUAAAAGCGUUUGAAAUUUUACUCAUGAUUGGACAAGUACAUAUUUCUAACGUCUUUCUUGGACAUUCUGAAUUUCUGUAUUUUACUUGCAUUUAAUGGAUGUUAGUACAUCAUUGUUUUCAUGGCUGGCUGUGUUUUUUGCUGCACAUUUUCUUGCAACAUUGUUUCAUUGCAUUUAACAGUGCCAUCAUUUCCUGCUCUGAAAGCUUUUGUGGGAUCGCCUUACCUUACCUUAAUACAGUGUCAUCAUGACAUUGAUUUGGGGCUUGUUUAUUAUGGUCACAGUUUCAAUUAACUAAGUUACAUAAAUUGUUUUCAUUAAUUUGUGUGUACGUGUCUUGACUUGGUUGAGUGGUAAUGCCCAUUUUCGAUUUCUUAUCAGCAUGUUGAAGUCUGAACAUGCCUUAUAAUGUGAAUGUAAUGCACUGAAUGGAAUGCAAGCAGGCACAAUUAAAAUUUGAGCUGUGUACUACUCUUACUGGUUUAUAAUCAAAUAUCAUGCUGAUAGAGCUAUAUGCAGUACAUAUUUAAAAUACAUGAAAUGGAACCUCAUUUACAAUGUCCAAAGUCUUUGCUCAUUCUAACAGCUGCUUAAUAGUUUUAAUAGCUGUAGCAAAAUGCCAGUGUUUCUGCAUUCACGUGUUCAUUUUGCUAACGUGUUGGUAGAGCUACUAGCAAACCUCCAUCCACUGGUGGAUUUCACGUGAUGAAAGGCUUCUUGUAUUUAUCAUCAUAGCAUUCGUGGCUAAGGGCUCUGGUGUCUUCAAUGCAUUUCCUGGUUAACAUAACUGACCAGUUCAGCUGGUCUACUGUCAGUUUUCAAGCUUGUGCAGCUGGUUUAUUUCGUGCCACAUUUUUCAUGGUUUUAACUGGUCACAAGUGGUAGCACUAAGGCUAGUUGAUUAUCAUUGCAUAUGGUUUGAUUCUCUCUUUGCUCCUACACAAGCUAUUAUAUGCUUUUUUGCCAUGUGCUUCCUGUAUUCUUGCUUGGUUUAGGAAGAAUGUAUUACCUUGGUAGUCAUUAGGACAUUUUUUUUCCAUGUGCAUAGCAUGGUUUAGAAAGAAUAUGUGACCUUGCCUGUAAGCUUAUUUCUUUUCAAGCACAUCUUUUACAGCGAAGCAGUCUAUGGCUAGGGUUCCAUGGAUUUUUUGUGUCUGUCAACAAAUCUGCAUGUGUAAAAAUUCAGCUCCCGAAUUUGAUGCAAAAUCGCUUCAUUCUAUGCAAAAGCUUAUACGUCUCAUCACUUGGAUAUGCAUUUUCAGUAGAUUACUUAUAAAUAGGCACCAUUUUCAAAAUCGGUAGACUCUCUGGUAGAUAAUUUUGCUUGCUUAUGGGGGUAUGAGCCAUUGCUUAAGGGGUUAGGAGCCAUUCAUUGUCUUACAUGACAGAUUUGUCAUUCAGUUUAGCGGGCAUAGAAAUGGUUAUGCAUUUAAUAACAGAGGUGAUACGAGAUGUGUGUGCAUACCUGUCGUCACGAUGGCCACCGAUCAGGAUACUAAAUGCAUAUCCAAGUGAUAAGACAUAUGCUUUUGCAUGGAAUGAAGCGAAUUAUAUGAACAUGGUCCUACUAAGACCACUGACCAAGGCACAGCGAUCAAGAAAACUUGUGUGCGCAUUCAUGUGCUGCCGGUUUAGAAUAAAUGUAUGUGCCAGUGAUGCUCUACUUCCACAUAUCCUCAGUAGCAUAAUGGCAAUUUCUCGCCCACUUGGUCCAUUCCGUCGUCCAAAAGUGCCCUUAAUAAUGCAAUGGAACUGCGCCGGUAUUCUACAGCGUCUUUCUAGUGAUCAGGAAAUACGUGCAUGUUCAUGUCCCGCCAAUCAAAAUAAAAGUGCGUGUGCAUGUGCCUUUCAUCGGGUUUGCUGCCAUCACCGCUCAAGAGAAAUUAAAUUUGCUCAUACCUUUGAUCUAAAUUAUGUGUCACCUUGAUGUUGUGUGCUAAACAGCUUUGUUAGCAAUCCACUCCACAGCAGUGGAAUGGUGCACAAUUUUCUUUCUUUCUCUUUUUUUUUAUUGCUUGCAGCUAGGGUUAGUUUUGUCCAUGCAGGUAUGAUUUAACACAAUAUUAGGACGACCAGCGCGUGACAACAGACACGGGGUGAAAAAAGAUGACUGAUGUGUUCCUCCCUGUGUCCUUUGCGUUGCGUGCUGGUCGUUGCAAUGCAGAAUCUGCUCGCCUAAAGCUACACCUUACUUAAACCCAUGGUACUUGGAUAACAACAUAGAUUGAAUAUGUAUUACCUGUGCUUCCUCUUUGCCUACAAUAACACAAGAUAUGUCAAACAUGAUUUCAAAUGUGCUAAUCAGCACUUGAAAUAAUAUGUAUGUUCAUGCUGAUGAAAGUGUACUGACACACUCUUAUGCUGUAGCAAACUCUUGGCAUUCAGACGCAUGCUCAAUGAAACGUUCCAGUUGUGUUCAGUCAACACAGAUGUCAAUGUGCGCGAUUGCCCAGAUUUGUUUUCUUGUGCAUUUUCACUUGAAACUUCCAGCUGAUGUGUUAUUAAGCAGUUAUAGAAUUAUUGAGUGGACGUUGUGGCAUGUGCUACUCUGCGAUGGCUUGCAUCAAAUUUGUGUUGUGCUCCUAUUAUUCUCAUGUUCAGUGUAUUUCAAUUUUGUUUAUCACAUAUUGACAACGUUGUGCAUACUCUUUCAAUAUUACAGUUAAACAUUGAUAUGAACGAAAUUCUUGAUGUAAUGAAUUAUUCAACUUUUUAUAAGUUCUUGUCUAUAGAACAUGUAUUUAGAACCUCAGUAUGAUGUCUAUACAGUCGAACCCGACUAUAUCAAACCCGUUUACAUCGAAUUAUUCUAUAUAUCGAACAAUUUCUGGUCACGGUAUAGUUACAAUGAGUAUAUAUAGCAAAAAUUACGCUUACAUCGAACAAAUAUUGCAGUGACUCCCGAUAUAUCGAACGUCAAGCGGCGGAAAAGUGCCCCCAGAGGUUGGCUUUCCCUCGCGGUAGCGGGGAAACCCGGCGGCGCGGCUCCAUCCAACCGCUCUCCCUACCGUGACCGCGCUAUCUCGGGCUGUUCGGGCGAGCCGUCGACACUCCCCGUGUAGCGCAUAGUGGAGUCUAUUAGGCCACCAUCCUCCCUCUUUUUCUAUCAUCUUUCACUUGCCACCCCUCUCCCCUGACGACGCUUCGCCGUGCUCCCGCACGGGUUGCAGAAUCAAGCGUCCUUCCUUUCUUUAGAUCACUAUCUAGCGACACUCCCCAGCAAAAGAUGAUCCUGGCCCGCCUACAGCGCUUGCUCAGACAGCCAAUCAGAAGCUCUUGUGCUCUCUUCGUGCAAGAUGGCGAAAGUGCGAGUUGUCUGGCUGCUUCUCUGGUUUAUCGUGUUUGCGCCUUGUGGGCCUUCUCCCGCAGUGUUGCCGUGAUGGAGCGGCAGAAUUCGCCGUUUGUCGUGAAGCUCGAAAUCAUAAAUCGCGUCGAACGCGAUGAGAAGUUGGAUGUCCCCGCAGCGUGCAAGAUUCCGAGGAGCACUCUCGGCACGAUUAGGGCUAAAGUGGCCAGACUCGCAACCCGGUGCCAUGGCGCCCGACGCUUACGCACGGCCGUGUACGAGGGGUUCUUCAUACGUGCCGGUUUCCGCGUGCUCGGUGAGGACUGUAAAUUCUGAUGAAUGCGACGAAGCCGUUGCCGAAGUUUGGAGCUAGCUGACAAAAUUUCCGGGACAUUCGAAUCAACGGUGGACGAGUUUGUGAGUGCAGAUGAUGGUGUCGCGACCACGGUAGAGCCCGGAAACUAAGACUACAUCGCCGACAUCGUACCGAGCACAAAUUACAGUAGGAACAUUGAGGAAAGCAACUACGGUCCUUUGCCCAUAUCCUCCGAAGUGACUGGUGCACUCGCAUUAGUCCGGCGCUUCUGCGCGAAUGCGGAAGGUUGCGGCCUCAGCUGCUCCGACUCCUUAGACAGCGUGGGGAAGUGCGUGCGUCGCAGGCAGCGAAAUUGCCCAAGCAGAAGAAAAUGCAGGACUAAUUUAUGCCAAACUAAGCUAGUUUCGUUAAUAAAGUGAUUUUAUAAAUGGUA